rfam:Arthroderma gypseum CBS 118893 supercont1.6 genomic scaffold, whole genome shotgun sequence.
UUACCUGAUGAAACAAUGAUUUUCGCUGUGUUCUUUCCGAGUCUUACUUUGACGAUAACACAUCACCUUGGAGACCUGAUCC